UUUGAUAUAUUAGUUAUCCUCAGGGCACCUAGCAUCUUGGAUUUCCUGUAAGUUUAGAGAAUUAAAAUUAAGUUUGAAUCAGAAAGAACUCAAAUCAGUUGCAACUUAAUUCUGACUUGAUAUUGAUAAUAUUGAUAGAAAGAAGGAUGAUUAAAAAUGAAGAAAUGAUUAAAGAAGGAAAAAAAAUAGAUAACAAUCUUACGCGGUUUCGCUUAUCUCCGUAUUUCGACCAGAAUGUAACUUUACACGAGCUUUUUUGUCCAGUUUGCUUAUUGAAGACGGAACAGGAAGAGAACGGUGGUAGAUACCUUGGAUAUAAAGAAAUUGGAUACCUGAUGAUGUAAUUGUACAACCAAGCUGCUCUCUGCUUUGCUCUCUCGGGAUAAUACUGACACAUGACUACCUGUCUCAUUCGUAAACCAUAAGGCUCGAAAAAUGCCAUCAGCCAGCAAAGAAAGAUCAAAACGAGGAUCUGAGUGUAUUUAUCGAAAUCAGGUGUUACAGGAACCGGAAGACAAAGCAUCGUAUCGAUUUCUGUUCCCUGCCCGUGUGGCGUGAAUGCUUUUACGAUACUUUUAUAAAGGUCAGCUAAAUAUCCAUCGCC
rnacentral:misc_RNA from 1 species